rnacentral:rRNA from 1 species
AUACGUAGGUGACGAGCGUUAUCCGGAUUUACUGGGCGUAAAGGGCGUGUAGGCGGUCUUGCAAGUCAGAAGUGAAAUUCCUGAGCUCAACUCGGGCGCUGCUUCUGAAACUGCAGGACUUGAGUGCUGGAGGGGAUAGCGGAAUUCCUAGUGGAGCGGUAAAAUGCGCAGAUAUGAGGAAGAACACCGUUGGCGAAGGCGGCUAUCUGGACAGUAACUGACGCUGAGGCGCGAACGCGUGGGGAGCGAACAGGAUUAGAUACCCUGGUAGUCCACGCUGUAAACGAUGAAUGCUAGGUGUAGGGGGUAUCGACCCCUCCUGUGCCGGAGUAAACGCAAGAAGCAUUCCGCCUGGGGAGUACGGCCGCAAGGUUGAAACUCAAAUAAAAUGCCGGGG